rnacentral:rRNA from 1 species
GCAUACUGCCGUGAAUACGUUCCCGGGCCUUGUACACACCGCCCGUCACACCAUGAGAGUUGGGAAUACCCGAAGCCUGUGAGCUAACUUAUAGAGGCAGCAGUCGAAGGUAGAAUCAAUGAUUGGGGUGAAGUCGUAACAAGGUAAC